UGGAAAACAAGUGUAUUAAAGCAAUUAUGUAUCGGCUUGGACGUAGGCCCAAAGAAAAUCAACAUGGUUCAGAGGGGGUGAGCAAUGGAAAGUGAGGGUGUAUUGUGGGUGAAACGUUGGGCCUGAGGCUCAACCAAAUCCAAAGCAGGGAAUCAGUUAACACCAACUCAAUUCAUGUUCAGCUUAUCACAAUUCAAAAAUCCUAUGGUCGAAGUAGAUAACUCCGUCACCCCCGAAAUCGCAUUCGGCGACGGCGGAGGGUGAAACCAACAUAAACUCAUAUCGAUCUCUUCGUCUCAACACGCUCAGUCACCUCAUCAUAUUGAUUCCUUCCAAUUUCUACUCCAACAUCCACACCAAACUAGACAAAACAAGAACCAUAAAUCCCAAUUUCAAAAUUAAACACGAGCAAGGAGGAAUAAAAGCCCAAUUCCUUAUGGAUUUGAUUCCUCAGGGAUUACGCUACAUGAUGGUAAUCACAAUUAGGGAAAAAAAGUAAAUGAAAGAUGAGAAACUCCUAACUACUAGGAUGACAUGCUCCUCGCUGAAUUUUGAAUUUGAACGUGCAAACGAAGAAGAAGAUGAAGGUGACACAUGGCUGACUUGGGCUUGGAAUUUGAUCAUGGUUUCAAGAAUACUUGGGGCUACCAUGAAGAUCCAUGAUGAUGGCUUGAAAAAAAUACAACAUGGAUUACUUGGCUCUGAAGGAAACUUGGAUAAAAAGUCAAAUGAGAAGAUGGAAGAGUGAAGACCAAAGAGAAAAUCAGGAUUAGGCUUAGUGGUUAAGUCAGUUAACUUUGGUCAACUGGUUGACCAAAAAGUCAACACUUACCAAAGUCAACUGGAGGUCAAAGUUAUAUAUUUUUAUACUUUUGUAUGGAUUUUGUAAUUUUUGGGUUUUAUGUAAUGGAAUGAUAAUUUUGGGAAUGAAAAUGACUUUUGAAUAGAUGUAAAGUAAUGAAAUGACCUUUGAAAGGUUAUUUAUAUUUGAAUGAACUGGAUAUUGAAUGAA